CUGACGUGCUGCGCAUCAGAUAUUUUCUGGCGGUGACGCCAUGUUUGUUUCGAGCUCUUGUUUGAGCGAAAGGUUCCGGUUUGUUUCGCUGUCGAUUGAAAAUUAGGAAUCACACCCACUCUGGCUCGUCGAAUGCACUAACCGCUACAAUUCCGCCUCGAAGUGCAACUCGGCGCCAUCCCAUUCCGGCUCAUAUUUUUGUGCCCGUCGCUCGUCUACCAACGGCCGAGCAAACGGCCUAACGGCUUACCCGUUCCUUCUAUUCGACUCCAGCAUCAACAAUGGCAACUAUGUACAUUUUCGCCAAAACCAAAUUACUGGCCCGUGCCCUAUCUCAGCGCUCAGGUUCGCUCCCUACUGUCCAAGCUCGAGCUCAUGAAACCCAACUCGUUCUCGGUGUUCGUCCUCAAAAUGUGCGGACUGGACCGAGCGGAACCGCUUCAUCCGGGGCUAUCUGCUACAGGGAGCCGACGAAGCGUUUCGCCAACCUAAAUAAGUUGCGCUGAUUCGGUCCGAUGAUGCAGCUGGCGCAGAUUGCCAAACAGCUGCGAAUCAACGUUAUCAAAUUGUAGCCGGCUCAUUUGCAGGGGAUUUAGCGAAUCCUGUUGCUGGAGACCCCGAGGAAGAUGCUGAAAAUCAUAUCCGGACCGGUGCGGGACGUUGCGAGCGCUUAAAGACUAAUCGGCUUCGAAGCACCUCCGAACGCGAAGGGAAUCCAGCAAGACAUGGGUCUGCGGAACGAUACUGGAUUCCUGAUGUUCUUCAAUAUGUAUCGCUGUUGUAUGCGACCUACCGGCUGAUGCAAUGAGAAAAUAUAUAG